AAAAAGAUAAGCUAAUUAAGCUACUGGGUUUAUACACCAUUUAUAAAGGUUAUAGUCCUCUUCUUUUUA
rnacentral:tRNA from 1 species